UACGAAGGGGGCUAGCGUUGCUCGGAAUCACUGGGCGUAAAGGGUGCGUAGGCGGGUCUUAAGUCAGGGGUGAAAUCCUGGAGCUCAACUCCAGAACUGCCUUUGAUACUGCAAAUCUCGAGUCCGGAAGAGGUGAGUGGAAUUCCUAGUGUAGAGGUGAAAUUCGUAGAUAUUAGGAAGAACACCAGUGGCGAAGGCGGCUCACUGGUCCGGUACUGACGCUGAGGUGCGAAAAGCGUGGGGAGCAAACAGGGAUUAAGAAUCACCUAGUACG
rnacentral:rRNA from 1 species